AGUAGGAAAAAAAUUGAUUUAAUUUUGGGGUCUUUUCAUUUUAAACGAUAUGGGGUCUUUUCAUCCGCGAACCCCUUGUUUUGACAUCAACUGCGAUUCACUUUGGCGGUCCCCUCGAUUGUUUUGAUUGUUUUUUCUUGUUUUUUUUUUAUCCCGCGUCGUGUUUAUGUUUUGAUUUGAUUGAGCGGGAUGGAAUUUUACGAAAACGCAGCUGCAACUGUGCCGGAAUCCUGUCCGGAAUCGAUUCUGGAACACCGACGACCCCGACGACUCUCUCGUCAAGGUAAUGUCAGAUGAUGGCCGAUCGCGAGCAAGUUUUGAAGCACCAAAAGGAGAAUUUGCUUCCCAUCUACUCUAUGUCCACUCGUGACAAACCUCCAGUGAAAGCUAUGGAAAACCCCUUUCCCCCAAGCGGAAAUCAAUCUGCAUGCUGCAGAAGGAGGAUUAUGGAGUGUGCCAAGUAAUUGCUGCGAAUAAUUGAUAAACAGAAUAACAAUCUGUAAUCUGUUUAGUUGUGACAAAUCAUUCUGCCUGGAGGAGAUACUUUGCUGUUCAGCACAUCUGGCCUGAGUCAUCCUAUUUAUUAAACACGUUUUCUAAAUCUAUUACUUCAUCUAUACUUUUUGUCAUUGAUUGUUCAAUUAAUAAAUAAAUAGGGUGGAAAAAGGGUGAGGCCAAGGGUGGCGCAUACAUCGCAAUGAAAACAUAACCGAAAAUACCCAAAGUUACU